ensembl:snRNA U6 U6 spliceosomal RNA
AUGCUGGCUUUGGCAGCACAUAUACUAAAAUUGGAAUGACACAGAGAAGAUUAGCAUGACCCCUGGACAAGGAUGACAUGCAAAUGUGUGAAGUGUUCCAUAUUUUU